CAGAGGUGGCCUGGUCUGCUCUUGUUUCCUGAGGGCCAUGGAGAUCCCUGCAAGGUUUGUGGGCAGUGUGGAGGACACGGCUUUGAGGGUGAGCCUGUGCUGCGGCACCAGAGGGGCCUCCUGCCAGGGAGCCGGGAGUGCUGUGUGCUCUGCCUCACCAACUGCCUCAUCCACAGAGAACAGCUGGGCUUCUCUGGGCCUUUUGCACGGAUUCCUUUGCCUUGAGCAAAAUAUUUGGCUGCUGAGUUAUGAACUAACUCUUUAGACCUGUUUGAGGCACUACAGUGAAGAGCUGCAGGUAAAGGCCUGCAGUCUGAGGAGCAAAUUAUGUUUGUUUUCCAAGUGCCAUGAAGUGCUGCCCCAGAAGUACCACUGCAAGGCAAACUUGUGGGGAGAGUCUUGCUGAGGCUGACACAACUCCCAGUUUGACUGAGUUAACUGGCUAAUUGGAGAGACAUGGGAAGAUGUACAUCGAAAGAGAGUAAGAGGCUUCUGAAACAGGAGGUGGAGAAAGAGAACUCCGUUCAAAAUCCAUUACCAGGAGCUUCAGCCAGCCUCAAGCAGUCAUCUGUAAUGCAGCUAAACCAAGCCUGACCUUGGAAGAUCAAAAAAGAAGAGGCUGCAUGUCAAGAGAAGAGAGAAGAGGUGGCGUGUGUAACGGCGAGUUCCUGUCCUUCACCUCUUGGGGAGUUUACUUACUGGAUGCACUUCCUGGCCGUGUGUUUGACACAGCAAAAGAAGAUG